rnacentral:rRNA from 1 species
GUAGUCCACGCCGUAAACGUUGGGAACUAGAUGUGGGGGCCAUUCCACGGCUUCCGUGUCGCAGCUAACGCAUUAAGUUCCCCGCCUGGGGAGUACGGCCGCAAGGCUAAAACUCAAAGGAAUUGACGGGGGCCCGCACAAGCGGCGGAGCAUGCGGAUUAAUUCGAUGCAACGCGAAGAACCUUACCAAGGCUUGACAUAUACGAGAACGCUGCAGAAAUGUAGAACUCUUUGGACACUCGUAUACAGGUGGUGCAUGGUUGUCGUCAGCUCGUGUCGUGAGAUGUUGGGUUAAGUCCCGCAACGAGCGCAACCCUCGUUCUAUGUUGCCAGCACGUUAUGGUGGGAACUCAUAGGAGACUGCCGGGGUCAACUCGGAGGAAGGUGGGGAUGACGUCAAAUCAUCAUGCCCCUUAUGUCUUGGGCUUCACGCAUGCUACAAUGGCCGGUACAAAGGGCUGCAAUACCGCAAGGUGGAGCGAAUCCCAAAAAGCCGGUCUCAGUUCGGAUUGAGGUCUGCAACUCGACCUCAUGAAGUCGGAGUCGCUAGUAAUCGUGGAUCAGCAACGCCACGGUGAAUACGUUCCCGGGCCUUGUACACACCGCCCGUCAAGUCAUGAAAGUCGGUAACACCCGAAGCCAGUGGCCCAACCGCAAGGAGGGAGCUGUCGAAGGUGGGAUCGGUGAUUAGGACU